rnacentral:rRNA from 1 species
AUUGCACGCUGGCGGCAGGCCUAACACAUGCAAGUCGAGCGAGCGGCGGACGGGUGAGUAAUGUAUGGGGACUGCCCGAUAGAGGGGGAUAAAUACUGGAAACGGUGGCUAAUACCGCAUCCUAUCGGAUAACCCAUAUGGGAUUAGCUAGUAGGUGGGGUAAAGGCUCACCUAGGCGACGAUCUCUAGCUGGUCGGAGAGGAUGAUCAGCCAAACUGGGACUGAGACACGGCCCAGACUCCUACGGAGGCAGCAGUGGGGAAUAUUGCACAAUGGGGGCAAGCCGGAUGCAGCCAGGCAGCGUGGAUGAAGAAGGCCUUAGGGUUGUAAAGUACUUUCAGCAGGGAGGCGUUACCCGCAGAAGAAGCACCGGCUAACUCCGUGCCAGCAGCCGCGGGAAUUC